rnacentral:rRNA from 1 species
CCUACGGGAGGCAGCAGUCGAGAAUCAUUCACAAUGGGGGAAACCCUGAUGGUGCGACGCCGCGUGGGGGAAUGAAGGUCUUCGGAUUGUAAACCCCUGUCAUGUGGGAGCAAAUUAAAAAGAUAGUACCACAAGAGGAAGAGACGGCUAACUCCGUGCCCGCAGCCGCGGUAAUACAGAGGUCUCAAGCGUUGUUCGGACUUACUGGGCGUAAAGGGUGCGUAGGCGGUUUCGUAAGUCGUGUGUGAAAGGCGCGGGCUCAACCCGCGGACGGCACAUGAUACUGCGAGACUAGAGUAAUGGAGGGGGAACCGGAAUUCUCGGUGUAGCAGUGAAAUGCGUAGAUAUCGGGAGGAACACUCGUGGCGAAGGCGGGUUCCUGGACAUUAACUGACGCUGAGGCACGAAGGCCAGGGGAGCGAAAGGGAUUAGAUACCCUUGUAGUC